AGCGUCCAUUGUCUAAUGGAAAGGACAGAGGUCUUCUAAACCUUUAGUAUAGGUUCAAAUCCUAUUGGACGCAA
rnacentral:tRNA from 1 species